AAACUGCGCGCUUGAUUUUUUACAACUUAGUGCGUAUUGAUGAUCGUGUUCCACCAUGUUUAAAAGUACUUCUCGACUCAAGCAAUCAAAAAUUUUGUGACUUACCACAUGCGAUAUUGCGAUCGCCAUCGAUAGACGUUCGAGAAGAAUAUCGGACUGACUUGUUCAAGUAUUUGAGAGGAAGUCAGUGCGCUGGAUCUGGCAAAAUGAACUGCCAAGUUGCAUGGAGCGAAUUGGGUGAUCAUAGAUGUCGAGCAGCAUUGUAUAAUUUCAACGCUCUCAAUGAUGAUGAAAAGUCUCUGUGUCCGAAUGCUAAAACGGCUGCCUGUAGAUUCACCGAUUACAACUGUGUCGUUAAUGUGCCGUUGCCGAAAGAAGAUGGAGCCACUGGAACUACAUUCAAACAAGUGCCAUUGAAGAAGUGUGUAGAAAAAGUGCGUGGCUUUGCCCAGCAAAGUAGAGAAUUUAGAGAAUUCUUAGGUGCGAAGAAAAAGAAUCAAUGAGCGAAGAUAUUUCAAAAUUUCUUCAAAAUUUGAACUGUCAAAAAAAACUGACAAACAUUUUGUCCUGUAAUAAAUAAGCUGUUUGAUUAUUUGUCAAAACUGACUAUCGUAAGAAACCCAAUAUUUAGAAUAAAUGUGUGUGACCGUUAAUAGAAAGAUAAUUUAAGGUACGCUACUUACUAAGCGGAAAAAAAUUGUAUUUUAAGGGUUCAGUAGAAAGCCUUCUCUUCUUUCCUCGAGAACGA
rnacentral:lncRNA from 1 species